GUCGACCUGAGCUCGACAAGGCUACCCGCUGAACUUAAGCAUAUCAAUAAGCGGAGGAAAAGAAAC
rnacentral:rRNA from 1 species